CUCAUUUUUUUCAUGCAUUCCUACUGUGUCAUUUUUUACAGUGCAUGCAUUUCUAUGGAUGCUGUGUCUCCCAAUUAGAAAUUCUCUGGGCUACAAUACAAAAAUCAAGUCAAAAGCUGGGCCAAAUAUCCAGUCAAGAAAAUCUGGUUGUGUACAGAUUCAUACACCAAAGCUAUAGAAAAAUAUCAGCGGCUGAUGGACACUUCUAGUAUUGAGGCGGAAGAAGAUGCGAGCGUCCAGAAAAGGCAGUGCAGGGUCACGUGAUGAUGAAACCGUUCCGCAAGCAAGAGAGCAUUCCAGGAUGGUGCGUGUGCCUUGAAGCCCUGUCAGCAGAUGUCACUGUCUCCACCACCUGCAUCUAGGAAUUUCUGGCAAAGUUCUCAAUUGGUUUGCAUCCUACCUCAAAGGACAUUCAUUCAUCUCCUUUCUGAGAGCUGGGGAGAAGCCUUCUUCAUUUCAACCAUCAAAACCAUGCCUGCUUUCCACGGCUCCAGACUGGCAGGGUGAGUGGAUCUUGGGAAACAACUCAAGUUCCCUAAGCCACAUAGCUCCAACAACACAGCGCCUAGAUAUGGUCAUCUUCUCAGAUUCCACCAAGCAGGUGAUCAUGUGAGAAUUGACAGUGCCCUGAGAAGAACACAUGUAGGAGGCUCAUGAAAGGAAGCGUGCCAAAUACCAUGAGCUGGUGGAGCAGUGCAGGAGCUGUGGCUGGAAGGCUUGCUAUUGAAAUAGGCUGUCGGGGCUUUGCAGGGAAUUCACUCUGCUGGGCUUUGACAGCUGGAAUCACUGGAACAUCUAAGAGGGGGGCCAUGCCACUAGGUGGCUUUGGACAAAGAGGGUGAGCACGUGGCUUGAUGCUACUGGGAUGCAAGCCGGGACCUGAUCAACCCCAGCUGGGUCACCUAGGUGAGGAGGACUGACGUUGAAAGACUCGAAAACCUCAGUUGACCCCAGGAACAUCACUGAUGAAGCAUCCCAGUUCAUCCAAAGAGAUGUACAACUUCACCACAGACAAACCUCAGGGGACUAUUUCAGUUUGGAUGAAAGACACCUUCGGCUCAAGCUCUCCAAAACUGAGCUUCUGGUAUUCCCAAAUAAUACAGAUGUUCCCUAACAGAUCAGCAUCCAGCUUGGCUCAUCUUUACUGACUCCUA